rnacentral:rRNA from 1 species
ACGCUCGACACCUACGGGAGGCAGCAGUGAGGAAUAUUGGUCAAUGGGCGCUAGCCUGAACCAGCCAAGUAGCGUGAAGGAUGAAGGCUCUAUGGGUCGUAAACUUCUUUUAUAUAAGAAUAAAGUGCAGUAUGUAUACUGUUUUGUAUGUAUUAUAUGAAUAAGGAUCGGCUAACUCCGUGCAAGCAGCCGCGGUAAUCUGAGCGGGCUGGCAAGC